rnacentral:lncRNA from 1 species
AUGGAAAGUCUUCUGCCGAUGUGCCAAACCGCGGCGGUGGGGAGCAGCAGCGUGCGGCUGCUGGGAGGAGAAGGAGGAGGAGGAGGAUGUGCAGGGCAGGAGGGGUGCAGCUGUGGGGCCCCAUGCAGGACAGCUCCGGCACCCCGAGCAGCCCUGAGAUCCCAAAACUGCCUCUCCCAGCCCCCCGAGGAGCCCUGCACAACUUGUAACUGCCAUGGCCACGCACUGCCAGCCUGCCCGGUCGGGGGGCCCCGCAGUGCCAGAUGCCUCCUGACUGGGGCCCCCCAAAACCCAUGGCCCAGCUCCUGCCCUGCUUGCAGCGGCUCCCUCCCAGGGGCUUUGGACAAGCCCCUGUCUCUCUGUGCCCGCGUCCGGUGGCCUCAGGACGUGGCAGGGACCGGUGCCAGCUGGGGAGCGCGGGCAGCGAGAGGAGCUGGAGGUGACCUGGGGACAUGUCCCCUGCUGCAACAUGCCCAGGUGUUUCUUGUCCCACUGCAGGCAGGACACGCUGCUGCGUGGGGCAGGGCAGUGCGUGGAGCCCCGGAGGACCCUGUGCCCAGUCCCUUGUCCCCCGAAAGCAGCACGGCUGGGAACAGGGGAGCACUCCUCACACCUCCCUUCUCCGCCAUGUCCCCAGCCGAGUGCCAUCCCCACAGCUCCGCAAGCAAUGCCCCCAUGCCCUGGGGAUGCUGGGACACUAUGCGUGCCCUGCUCUGUCCCCGGUGCCCCCCGUGUCCCCUUGACCCCCCGGGGGCUGUGCUGCUGCCGUGCCCGUGCGCAGCAGGGAUGCGCUGCCUGCUGCCCGCUGUCCUGUGGCUUCCCCCCUCCCGCCAGCUCCCCUGCCUGGGGGGCAGAGCAGCGCUGCCUGCGCCCACACGCACACACCGCGCCGCUUUCCUGCUCAGCCGCCAGCGGUUUUUGGGGCUGCCUCCGGCUCGAGGCCAGGCUGCGAGCGGCUCCUCGGGGCACAGCCACCGUCCCCGCGGCCAAAGGUCUCCGACUGCCACGUGGCCGGUCCCGCGCCUUUCAUUUCGCUCACGCACUGUCCUUGGAUUGCAACUUGCCAAUGCAUCUGUAUGUACAUAG